GACGAACGCUGGCGGCGUGCUUAACACAUGCAAGUCGAACGGUAAGGCCCCUUCGGGGGUACACGAGUGGCGAACGGGUGAGUAACACGUGGGUGAUCUGCCCUGCACUCUGGGAUAAGCCUGGGAAACUGGGUCCAAUACCGGAUAGGAGCUCCUGUCGCAUGGCGGGGGUUGGAAAGGUUUGCUGGUGCAGGAUGGGCCCGCGGCCUAUCAGCUUGUUGGUGGGGUAAUGGCCUACCAAGGCGAGGACGGGUAGCCGGCCUGAGAGGGCGACCGGCCACACUGGGACUGAGACACGGCCCAGACUCCUACGGGAGGCAGCAGUGGGGAAUAUUGCACAAUGGGCGAAAGCCUGAUGCAGCGACGCCGCGUGAGGGAUGACGGCCUUCGGGUUGUAAACCUCUUUCAGCAGGGACGAAGCGAGAGUGACGGUACCUGCAGAAGAAGCACCGGCCAACUACGUGCCAGCCGCCGCAGUAA
rnacentral:rRNA from 1 species